CCCAACAUAACUCAGUUUUCAUGAGAGUGUGAGACUCUUAAUCUCAGGGUUGUGGGUUUGAAUCCAAUGUUGGGG